CGUGCAUAACGUACUGUCAGAUCCUUUCAGUACAUGCUUUGAGUUUGUGAGGAAGUUACUAAAAUGUUUAUGGCAUAGUUAGAUGUCCUCGUAGAUGCUGUAUUAAGUAACUUAAAGCACGGACCAUGCAGAAGACUUCAGUUCAAAACGCUUCCACUUUCUCCACAAUUGGAGAGUCUUAAACUGAGUUCAUCUCGCUUCAUCCUGCCAGACUUUACAAUAAGCAUUCUGGUCCAUACCAUUAAUGUUUAUGCUUCAUCCUACAGGGCAUCAGAUGGAGAGAGAUGUCAUGAAAAGCUGCUAGCCACCUGUCGAUGAUGAAGUCAUCGUUGACACCACUCAGGACUACUUGGGCGCGGAGCUUUUCAGACAUUCAGAAGUCAGGAAUGUGACUAAACUUUCAAGACUCUUCCACAAGCAGAAGUUGAUGCCAGUCUCGUUUGGUCCUCUACUCUUUGCCAUGCCACUCGAUCACCCUGAACUGAAGAUUGUGGUAAACGCAUUUACCAGUGCAGCAAAGAGGCCUUGGCUAAGAUUUACAGGGAAUGUGAUACUGGGUCGGGACUUGUAACUGCAGGAACUCAGAGUUGCAUGUCAUGCCCUGUAUUGGUGGGUGGAGAAUCACAGAGCCAGGAAAACAUUCAACCAAAAUAUUUAGGGACAUUCCAGUGGUUAUGAAGUAUAUAGCCGACCCCACAAUGCACUCGAUGCCUGCAGAGACACCAUCGCCAAACCAGAAGUGGCUAGCUUGUCAGAGUAUGGACAAC